rnacentral:rRNA from 1 species
UACAGAGGUCUCAAGCGUUGUUCGGAUUUAUUGGGCGUAAAGGGUGCGUAGGUGGCGUGGUAAGUCGGGUGUGAAAUUUCGGAGCUUAACUCCGAAACUGCAUUCGAUACUGCCGUGCUUGAGGACUGGAGAGGAGACUGGAAUUUACGGUGUAGCAGUGAAAUGCGUAGAGAUCGUAAGGAAGACCAGUGGCGAAGGCGGGUCUCUGGACAGUUCCUGACACUGAGGCACGAAGGCCAGGGGAGCAAACGGG